rnacentral:rRNA from 1 species
CCAGACUCCUACGGGAGGCAGCAGUGGGGAAUAUUGCACAAUGGGCGAAAGCCUGAUGCAGCAACGCCGCGUGAAGGAAGAAGGUCUUCGGAUCGUAAACUUCUGUCCUUGGGGAAGAUAAUGACGGUACCCUUGGAGGAAGCCCCGGCUAACUACGUGCCAGCAGCCGCGGUAAUACGUAGGGGGCAAGCGUUAUCCGGAUUUACUGGGUGUAAAGGGUGCGCAGGUGGCAGGGCAAGUCAGAUGUGAAAGCCCGGGGCUCAACCCCGGUAUUGCAUUUGAAACUGUCCGGCUAGAGUGCAGGAGAGGUAAGCGGAAUUCCUAGUGUAGCGGUGAAAUGCGUAGAUAUUAGGAGGAACACCGGUGGCGAAGACGGCUUACUGGACUGUAACUGACACUGAGGCACGAAAGCGUGGGGAGCAAACAGGAUUAGAUACCCCUGUA